rnacentral:rRNA from 1 species
UGGGGAAUAUUGGACAAUGGGCGAAAGCCUGAUCCAGCCAUGCCGCGUGUGUGAAGAAGGUCUUCGGAUUGUAAAGCACUUUAAGUUGGGAGGAAGGGCAGUAAGCGAAUACCUUGCUGUUUUGACGUUACCGACAGAAUAAGCACCGGCUAACUCUGUGCCAGCAGCCGCGGUAAUACAGAGGGUGCAAGCGUUAAUCGGAAUUACUGGGCGUAAAGCGCGCGUAGGUGGUUCGUUAAGUUGAAUGUGAAAGCCCCGGGCUCAACCUGGGAACUGCAUCCAAAACUGGCGAGCUAGAGUAGGGCAGAGGGUGGUGGAAUUUCCUGUGUAGCGGUGAAAUGCGUAGAUAUAGGAAGGAACACCAGUGGCGAAGGCGACCAUCUGGCCUAACACUGACGCUGAGGUACGAAAGCAUGGGGAGCAAACAGG